rnacentral:rRNA from 1 species
CCUACGGGAGGCUGCAGUAGGGAAUUUUGCGCAAUGGGCGAAAGCCUGAAGCAGCAACGCCGCGUGAACGAGACGCCCUUCGGGGUGUAAAGUUCUUUCAGUUGGGACGAAAAAUGACGGUACCCACAGAGUCAGCACCGGCUACCUCCGUGCCAGCAGCCGCGGUAAUACGGGGGGUGCAAGCGUUGUCCGGAAUCACUGGGCGUAAAGAGUGCGUAGGCGGGAUGUCAAGUCAGGUGUUAAAGGCGCGGGCUCAACCUGUGUAUGGCACUUGAUACUUGCAAGCUGGAGUGUGGUAGAGGUAAAGGGAAUUCCUGGUGUAGCGGUGAAAUGCUUAGAUAUCAGGAGGAACACUGGUGGCGUAGGCGAUUUGCUGGGCCGUAAUUGACGCUGAGGAACGAAAGCCAGGGUAGCAAAUGGGAUUAGAUACCCUUGUAGUC